GUUAGUCCCUGAGGUUCGCAGGAUGAAAAAAGGGCUUCCAAUCGUGCCCCGAGAUGCUCUCCGAGUUUGAGUGUCCAGUUUGCUCUGAGCUUUCCCUGCAGAACUUAAGUGUGGCCGCAAUUGGGAAAGACUGAAGGUAGAAAACUCUGGAACGGAGACUGGCGACUGGAGCAGAAUCCAGGGGCUUUAAAGUUUAACCUGAGUUCGAUCGAAAGCGACUACAGAAAAGAAGGUCCGGCGUCUGCAGUCCAUUCGACUCCGACCAGGGCUUCAAAUGCCUUUCUUUUCGUUUUUACCUCUGCGGCAGCGGUGAGAGGGACUCGAGCUGGCAAGGCAGGGGCAGAGAUAUUCUGAUCUCAAACGAAAUCGUUUCUCUCCGGACUAUUUAGACCUAAGGAGUGGCCCACCAGCCUGAGUCCUGCCUCCGUAAGCCUCCCUCCUCGCCCUCUGAGAAGGGCUGGCUCCUGGGCGCGGCCUGUCCCCAGGGCUGAUUUAUUUGGGCCGCGCCACACCACUAGUCAAGAUUCGAAUCCAGCCAGAACCCAGCAGCCAAUUGGGCAGGGGGCGGGGGCUUCGCUGCCAAACGAGAAAGUGUGUUGGGGACCCGGUCGUGCGCUGCUUCCGGAGGAGCAGCGAGACCCGGGCGGGGACCGGCGUCACGACUCGCACGCCUUCACCUCCGCAAACUUGAGCCCAUUACGUUGUCAUUCCACAAAGCGCCCGGCUGCUUCAGCGACAUUUCGGCAAGAGAAUGCGACUUCUGACUUAAAACAGUUUUAAACUGAGAGAUUUUUUUAAAGCCAGGUUGAUUGGGCCUUCUCGCUUAUCCCAUAUUUCUCCCUGUCCCUGGGAGGCUUUUGCCCAAGGGCAUGAGGUCACCUCGGCGCCCCCUACCCCAGCCACAGUCAGGGCGCAAUAGCCGUCUCCCCCCCACCUCCCAGCGGCUGUCAGUCCAACACAGGCCGUCGCCCAGAGUCCUGACAACGGUUUGGGGGAGAGGGUGGUCGUUUUGGUUUUUAAUUCUCGAAAACCCCAAAAUACCCUUUAGAAAUGUCAGGUGGUGGCGGCGGACGCGCGAAAACGGUCGUCCCCACCCUGCUCACUCUUCUCUCCUCCCUCCGCCGGUCAGUCGGGGUGGGAGACCCGCAGCGCCGACGCCGGGCCGGACGCGCGGAAUCGGUGCGGCGGCCCCUCGGCCCGCAGCCCCGCCAGCCCCGCGCGCCGCCGGCGGCCGCCAGCACGGCGCGGAGGUGGGCGAGCGGCGGCGGCGCGCGAAAGGUCACCGCGGUGGCAUUCCUCUCCGCGCGCUGUUUACGUGACUUAAUGUACUUCGUGCGCCGCGGGUAGGUUAGGGCCGCGAUAAGGGGACGGCCGGGGGAGGGUCACCGUAAAAGCCCCUCGCUGGGCGCCUUCCAGCCCUCCCUCAUCCAUUAACCUUUUUACUUUCUUCUUCCCUCUCUCUUUUAAAGCUUGUUAUCUAGGCCACCCAAUGACCGACGAAAGAUUUUCCCUCCCUGCCUCUCCCAAGGCCGCUUUAAACCAAAUAAAUUUAGCUAUUAAGGGCCAA